rnacentral:lncRNA from 10 species
AAGGACCUAUCUGGAGCAGGGGUCACGUGCUAAGACCAGAAGCAGGUGUGGGACAAACCCUCUAGGACGAGUUCUUUGACCAGAGUUCAUCACCGGAGCUGCUCCAGAGAUGGCCAGGCCUCCCCACCUGCAGGGGAGAACAGGUCCCGCUGGGGAAGACUCUGUCGUGUUCUGCAAAAGCCAUUUCUUGAGCACGUCCUGCAGGCCGGGCACUGCGCUGGGCACUUGAUUCCUUUCAACAGCAUGACAUGGUGGGAGGACAACUUGCCUCUCAUUGAUGAAGAAACGGAGGCUCAGAGAGGAAAAUAAAAAGAAGAAGAAGAACUUGACAUGAAGGACUGGGACAUCAUAGGACCAAGGGGGUGGUCUCUGGAGCCUCUGAGCAUGUUUCAGACUUAGGA